AAAUGUUCCCCAUACGCCCUGACCCCUAACGCAUAACGACCCAUAACCCUUACACCCCUACGACCAUCAACCCCUUGUUUCCCACUCACUCUCUCCGGACGCCUCCAGCUUUGCGGGGCCACUGGGCUCUAUAGGGCAGAUAUAGAUAUAUAUAUAGGGCAUAGUUAUGGGGUGGCUGUGGGGUGGUUGUGGGGUGGCUGUGGGGUGGCUAUGGGGUGUAAUGGGUGUUAUGGGGUGGUUGGUGGGGUGGUUGUGGGUGGUUAUGGGGUGGUUAUGGGGCUGGUUAUGGGCUGGUUAUGGGGCAGUUAUGGGCUGGUUAUGGGGUGGUUGUGGGCUGGUUAUGGGGCUGGUUAUGGGGUGGUUGUGGGGUGGUUAUGGGGUGGUUAUGGGGCUGGUUAUGGGGUGGUUGUGGGGUGGUUAUGGGGCAGUUAUGGGGUGGUUAUGGGGUAGUUAUGGGGUGGUUAUGGGGUGGUUAUGGGGCUGGUUAUGGGGUGGUUGUGGGGCCCCACCUGAGCUCUGCCCCUCUGCGGUCACCGCGUGCAGCGCUGCACUGCUCGACUCUGGGGGGGAAACAUGGCCCCAUAGACACAUAUGGCCCCAUAGGGCCCCAUAGACCCAUAUGGCCCCAUAGGGCCCCAUAGCCACACUCAGCCCCAUAGGGCCCCAUAGACCCAUAUGGCCCCACACACGGACCCAUAUGGCCCCACACAGCCCCAUAGGCACACACAGCCCCGUAGCCCCCACAGCCCCAUAUGGAGCCAUAUGGCCCCAUGGCCCUACAAGUCCCCAUAGCCCCAUAUAGCCCCAUAGCCACACACGGCCCCGUAUGGCCCCAUAUGACCCCAUAGAUUCCCAUAGCCUCCACAGACCCAUAUGGGCCCAUAUGGCCCUACAAGGCCCUACAAGGCCCCAUAACCCCAUAUGGCCCCAUAGCCCCACAUGGUCCCAUAUGGCCCUAUAGCCCCACAUGGCCACAUAUGGCCCCAUAGCCACACACGGACCCAUAUGGCUCCAUAUGGCCCCACAAAGCCCCAUAGCCCCCACAGCCCCAUAUAGAGCCAUAUGGCCCUACAAGUCCCCAUAGCCCCAUAUAGCCCCAUAGCCCCACAUGGCCCCAUAUGGCCCCACACAACCCCAUAGCCACACACAGCCCCAUAGCCACACACGGCCCUGUAUGGCCCCAUAUGACCCCAUAGAUUCCCAUAGCCUCCACAGACCCAUAUGGGCCCAUAUGGCCCUACAAGGCCCUACAAGGCCCCAUAGCCCCACAUGGCCCCAUAGCCACACAUGGCCCCAUAUGGCACCAUAGCCCCACACGGCCCCAUAUGGCACCAUAGCUACACAUGGCCCCAUAUGGCCCCAUAACCCCAUAGCCCCAUAGCCCCACACGGCCCCAUAUGGCACCAUAGCUACACAUGGCCCCAUAUGGCCCCAUAACCCCAUAUGGCCCCAUAACCCCAUAUGGCCCCAUAGCCCCCACA
rnacentral:lncRNA from 1 species